AAUCAUGUUUUGAUAUUAGCAUCCUACUAGCUUGAGUAGGAGGGGAAACGUAUAGUCUAAUAGCCGUUUUAAGUCUUGCACCAAAUCACCAAGGUACUCAUGACUGUCAGGUAGGGGUGUAACAAUAUUUUAACACUAUAUUUAAGAAAUCUUCAGUGAUGAAAUAUUACUCU